rnacentral:rRNA from 1 species
UACGGAGGGGGCUAGCGUUGUUCGGAAUUACUGGGCGUAAAGCGUACGUAGGCGGCUUUGUAAGUUGGAGGUGAAAGCCCAGAGCUCAACUCUGGAAUUGCCUUUAAGACUGCAUCGCUUGAAUCGUGGAGAGGUUAGUGGAAUUCCGAGUGUAGAGGUGAAAUUCGUAGAUAUUCGGAAGAACACCAGUGGCGAAGGCGACUAACUGGACACGUAUUGACGCUGAGGUACGAAAGCGUGGGGAGCAAACAGG